GGCUACGAUUAUUCAUAGCCGCGCCGCACAGGUGGUGCAUGGUCGUCGUCAGCUCGUGUCGUGAGAUGUUGGGUUAAGUCCCGCAACGAGCGCAACCCUUGUCCUGUGUUACCAGCGGGUAGUGCCGGGUACUCACAGGAGACUGCCGACGAUAAGCCGGAGGAAGGAAGGGAUGACGUCAGAUCAGUAUGCCCUUUAUGCCCUGGGCUACACAGGCGCUACAGUGGCGGGGACAAUGGGCUGCAACGCUGCAAGGCAAAGCUAAUCCCUUAAACCCUGUCGUGGUGCAGAUUGAGGGUUGCAACUCACCCUCAUGAAGGCGGAAUCGGUAGUAAUGGCGAAUCAGCAAUGUCGCCGUGAAUACGUUCCCGGGUCUUGUACACACCGCCCGUCACGCCAUGGGAGUCGGGUUCAUCGGAAGUCCCCAAGCUAACCUGCAAAGGAGGCAGGGGUCGAUGAUGGGCCUGAUGACUGGGGCGAAGUCGUAACAAGGUAGC
rnacentral:rRNA from 1 species